rnacentral:rRNA from 1 species
AAUGGCCGAAAGGCUGACGCAGCGACGCCGCGUGAAGGAUGAAGUCCGUUAGGACGUAAACUUCUUUUGCAGGGGAUGAACAGUCCGUUUUACGGAUUUGACCGUACCCUGCGAAUAAGGAUCGGCUAACUACGUGCCAGCAGCCGCGGUAAUACGUAGGAUCCGAGCGUUGUCCGGAUUUACUGGGUGUAAAGGGCGUGUAGGUGGAUUGGCAAGUCGGUGGUGAAAGCCUGCGGCUCAACCGCAGAAUUGCCCUCGAUACUACCAAUCUUGAGUACGGCAGAGGGAGAUGGAAUUCAUGGUGUAGCGGUGAAAUGUGUAGAUAUCAUGAAGAACACCGGUAGCGAAGGCGGUCUCCUGGUCCGUUACUGACACUGAGGCGCGAAAGCGUGGGGAGCAAA